UACGUAGGGCGCAAGCGUUAUCCGGAAUUAUUGGGCGUAAAGAGCUCGUAGGCGGUUUGUCGCGUCUGCCGUGAAAGUCCGGGGCUCAACUCCGGAUCUGCGGUGGGUACGGGCAGACUAGAGUGAUGUAGGGGGAGACUGGAAUUCCUGGUGUAGCGGUGAAAUGCGCAGAUAUCAGGAGGAACACCAAUUGCGAAGGCAGCUCGCUGGGACGUUACUGAGCUGAGACGCGAAAGCAUGGGGAGCGAACAGG
rnacentral:rRNA from 1 species